AUGAACGCUAGCGACAGGCUUAACACAUGCAAGUCGAGGGGCAGCACAGGUAGCAAUACCGGGUGGCGACCGGCGCACGGGUGAGUAACGCGUAUGCAACUUGCCUAUCAGAGGGGGAUAACCCGGCGAAAGUCGGACUAAUACCGCAUGAAGCAGGGGCCCCGCAUGGGGAUAUUUGCUAAAGAUUCAUCGCUGAUAGAUAGGCAUGCGUUCCAUUAGGCAGUUGGCGGGGUAACGGCCCACCAAACCGACGAUGGAUAGGGGUUCUGAGAGGAAGGUCCCCCACAUUGGUACUGAGACACGGACCAAACUCCUACGGGAGGCAGCAGUGAGGAAUAUUGGUCAAUGGCCGAGAGGCUGAACCAGCCAAGUCGCGUGAGGGAUGAAGGUUCUAUGGAUCGUAAACCUCUUUUAUAAGGGAAUAAAGUGCGGGACGUGUCCCGUUUUGUAUGUACCUUAUGAAUAAGGAUCGGCUAACUCCGUGCCAGCAGCCGCGGUAAUACGGAGGAUCCGAGCGUUAUCCGGAUUUAUUGGGUUUAAAGGGUGCGUAGGCGGCCUUUUAAGUCAGCGGUGAAAGUCUGUGGCUCAACCAUAGAAUUGCCGUUGAAACUGGGGGGCUUGAGUAUGUUUGAGGCAGGCGGAAUGCGUGGUGUAGCGGUGAAAUGCAUAGAUAUCACGCAGAACCCCGAUUGCGAAGGCAGCCUGCCAAGCCAUUACUGACGCUGAUGCACGAAAGCGUGGGGAUCAAACAGGAUUAGAUACCCUGGUAGUCCACGCAGUAAACGAUGAUCACUAGCUGUUUGCGAUACACUGUAAGCGGCACAGCGAAAGCGUUAAGUGAUCCACCUGGGGAGUACGCCGGCAACGGUGAAACUCAAAGGAAUUGACGGGGGCCCGCACAAGCGGAGGAACAUGUGGUUUAAUUCGAUGAUACGCGAGGAACCUUACCCGGGUUUGAACGCAUUCGGACCGAGGUGGAAACACCUUUUCUAGCAAUAGCCGUUUGCGAGGUGCUGCAUGGUUGUCGUCAGCUCGUGCCGUGAGGUGUCGGCUUAAGUGCCAUAACGAGCGCAACCCUUGCCACUAGUUACUAACAGGUAAAGCUGAGGACUCUGGUGGGACUGCCAGCGUAAGCUGCGAGGAAGGCGGGGAUGACGUCAAAUCAGCACGGCCCUUACGUCCGGGGCGACACACGUGUUACAAUGGCGUGGACAAAGGGAAGCCACCUGGCGACAGGGAGCGAAUCCCCAAACCACGUCUCAGUUCGGAUCGGAGUCUGCAACCCGACUCCGUGAAGCUGGAUUCGCUAGUAAUCGCGCAUCAGCCAUGGCGCGGUGAAUACGUUCCCGGGCCUUGUACACACCGCCCGUCAAGCCAUGGGAGCCGGGGGUACCUGAAGUCCGUAACCGCGAGGAUCGGCCUAGGGUAAAACUGGUGACUGGGGCU
rnacentral:rRNA from 1 species